CACGAACGCUGGCGGCAGGCUUAACACAUGCAAGUCGAGCGCCCCGCAACGGGAGCGGCAGACGGGUGAGUAACGCGUGGGAAUCUACCCAUCUCUACGGAAUAACGCAUGGAAACGUGUGCUAAUACCGUAUACGUCCUUCGGGAGAAAGAUUUAUCGGAGAUGGAUGAGCCCGCGUUGGAUUAGCUAGUUGGUGGGGUAAAGGCCUACCAAGGCGACGAUCCAUAGCUGGUCUGAAAGGAUGAUCAGCCACACUGGGACUGAGACACGGCCCAGACUCCUACGGGAGGCAGCAGUGGGGAAUAUUGGACAAUGGGCGCAAGCCUGAUCCAGCCAUGCCGCGUGAGUGAUGAAGGCCCUAGGGUUGUAAAGCUCUUUCACCGGUGAAGAUAAUGACGGUAACCGGAGAAGAAGCCCCGGCUAACUUCGUGCCAGCCGCCGCCGUAACAC
rnacentral:rRNA from 1 species